UCUGCUUCUUGACAACGAGAGAACAAUCCUCUUCUUUUUCUGCAAAUAAUAAUCCCUCUACAAUCAAACUCAUUCUUUCUCUUCGAACUUCGUUAAUGUUCCUCAUCACACCUCCAAUUCCAAUUUCGAUUCUUACGACUCAGACUUCAGAGACGAUUUUGGCACGCAACAAUCGUGUUUUCUUCUUCGCUCCUCAGAAUCGUGACUCAAACCCGAACAUAAUCAUCAUGUCUUCGUUCCUCAGAAUCGUGACUUCUAACCACCAAACAGUUUCAGCUUCCAAUCAGUAAUGGGAAAGUGCGCCAUGUAAAUCAAGCUAACCACCAUAUGUACCUUUUUCUAGGAAUUGGUUCAGGAACAAUUAUGGUAGGUGUCCAUCUUAUUACAUGG